AACUAAAUAGGAUUCCCUCAGUAAUGGCGAAUGAACAGGGAUCAGCUCAGCAUGGAAAUUGGGGCCUUCGGCCUUGAAUUGUAGUCUCCAGAUGCAUCGCCAAUGGAGGCGCAGAUGUAAGCCUCUUGGAAAAGAGCAUCAACGAGGGUGAGAGUCCCGCUUGUCAUCUGCAGUCCCCCAUGCACGGCGUGCCUUCUAAGAGUCGCGUUCCUCGGAAUUGGAGCGUAAAUUGGGUGGUAAAUUUCAUCUCAAGCUAAAUAUUGGUUCGAGACCGAUAGCAAACAAGUACCAUGAGGGAAAGGUGAAAAGGACUUUGAAAAGAGAGUUAAAAGUGCCUGAAAUUGCUGAAAGGGAAGCGAAUGGAACCAGUGUUGCUUGGCGAGAUUGUCAUACGCAUUCGCGUGUGGUGGUUCUUGCCUUGUGUGUCAACGCCAGUUCGUGAUCGAGGAAAACUCUAGGGACAUGGUAGCUUGCCUCUGGGUGGGCGAAUGUGCCUGGUAGAACUCAUUUGCGGACUGAUUCAUUUGUGUCUGGUUGCAGUGCUUGUUGUCAUUUCGACGUGCUGGUGAUAGGGGCUCGCUCCUUGAUCUGUGCGCUCGGGUGACUGGGCAUUUCCCUGACAUAUAGACGAUGACUAAA
rnacentral:rRNA from 1 species